UAAGUCAGAGGUGAAAUCCCACAAGUUAACUGUGGAAUUGCCUUUGAUACUGGUUAGUCUUGAGUUAUAAUGAAGUAGAUAGAAUAUGUAGUGUAGCGGUGAAAUGCAUAGAUAUUACAUAGAAUACCGAUUGCGAAGGCAGAUUACUAAUUGUAUACUGACGCUGAUGGACGAAAGCGUGGGGAGCGAACAGGAUUAGAUACCCUGGUAGUCCACGCCGUAAACGAUGGAUACUAGCUGUUGGA
rnacentral:rRNA from 1 species